GGAUGUGAGGGCCAUCUGGCUGCAACAUUGUCACCCCAUUGAUCGCCAGGGUUGAUUCGGCUGAUCUGGCUGGCUAGGCGGGUGUCCUCUUCCCCCCUCACCGCUCCAUGUGUGUCCCUCCCGAUGCUGCACACUCGGUUGAUGAAGAGGACGACCUUCCCCAUAGAAGGAGGAUCGUCCUUCGGUCAAGGGUAUAGGAGCAGCUAAGCUCCCCUGCUGGAACCGCCAAACAGUGUGGGAGACCUGGUAGGGCAGGAUCAAGGGGAAUGUAACAAAGAGGAAGUGCUGAAAUCCU
rnacentral:snRNA from 1 species